CGACGCCCUCUUCCCGUCCCCGCCGCCGCCUUGCCGGCUUCCUUCCGAUGCCGCCCCGACGUGGCCGCGGCCGAGGCCGAGGGCGAGGUCGUGGUCGGGGACACGAGCCUCCAGUGCCACCGCCUCAACCCGAACCUCCAUGGGAGCAUUGUCCGGUAUUUCAGCUACAAUUAGACGAGGACCCUGAGAUUAUGGCCCAAAAUUAUGACAAUUUGCUCGACACUAUUAUCAAUCAUAUCAUACAAAUUUGGCAAAACCUUCACAUUGAAGGAAAUGGCCUUAUUGAACAGGUUCAGACUUUGCCGAAAGGCGCGGGAUUCUAUGUGAUUGAAUUGCUUGCUCCGAUCAGUUGGGUUCAGGAUAAUUUUGGCCCUGUUAGGUUACUUUUUAGUUUUGACACUCUUUAUUGCAUUGGGUUUCGUAGAAAUGCUAAUUGGUAUAUCUUUAGCGAUAAUUAUGAGGAUAUGCAGAAUGUUCUCCGAAGAACUAAUGUGACACCUCUUACUUUUUCUGGCAACUAUAACAAGUUACGUGCCCGACUUCAACAACAUCCAUUUAGGGAUUCAAGCUCUCUUUCAGGCUUACAAAGAAUUAGCAGGUUAUCCCGGGUCGCUCAUCAAAGGUCCAUUGGUGACGAGUUGUGUUACCUUCUCAGAGACUCUUAGAUUUCCGGGAUUUCGUCAGUACAUGCUGAGCAGAAUGUCUGCAUAUAAUUCUCCCCCAGGAAGCAUUAAGGAGUUUUUUGAUCAUUUUACAAAUUGGUCAUCCUAUUGCUUGCUUAUUCAUAAAGGCAGAGCACAGUUUGUUCUUGCCUUUGGUAUGCAGACUUAUGAUGAGCUUUUGGAACUUGUUGGGAUGAUACUGUAGCUGACAAGAAUGAAUACACCUAUUUAUGUUAAUAUAGCUAUGCCGUUAAAAAUUGAGCUCCAUCAGUUGCGGAGUAUGAUGCUACAACAAUUGUUUUAACCUGAUGGUGUCUGCUUAGUCUUUUUAGCCAAUUGAGGCCUGGAGUACCUGAUACAAGGGUUGUUGCUGAAAUCUUAGAAUGAUUGCAAUUUGAUUCUGGAUAAUUUGACAUUAAUUACAGAGGCGUUCUCGCUCUAACAGCAGCAGUAAUUGUCUGAAUAUUGGUGAAUUUGCCUGAAUCUAGAACUUAUGAUGAUAGCAGCAUUCUUUAUUUCCGGAUUUCCUCGAUUGUUGGAUCUGACAUAUUAAUCUGCCCAGUAACUGAGCAUAGCAAAGGUAUGGCAAUGAUAUAUUAUCGAUGUAAUCUGUAAAGUAACCUUACUUCUGAUGGCAGUUGAAGAUUUCCAUCUAUGUAUGCCAUUUGAUAAAACUCACAUGUUUGAUUUUAUUUUAGUUUCAUUUCUAGUGUUGUUUCUGUCAGUUUGUUGGGAUAUUUGAUCCACCAUAUUUUUAGCAUAUGCACUAAUCUAUUCCAAUAAUUGUUGUAUGGCAAACAAAUGAUGUUGCAUAUGUCAAUGGUGUCAGUAAAACAGUUUUUGAUCUUAUCACUGCUUGUCUACCGGGCCACUAAGAGGAUUCAGUUAACAUAAAUGUACACUUUGUUGACAUUUUGUAAGUUCCUCCCUGGAUUACUUAUUUUUCUGGAGCGUUCCUACCUUUGUAGCAUUAUUCGUUUUAUUCUUAUUCCUGCCUAUGAAACAAACUUGCUAACCAAAAACUUCUCCUGCUGCUAAUAACUAUGAUAUGCACUGAUGUUGACACAAUUUUUUACUAUUUUUCGAAAUACAUUCCAUCUUAUUUCCUUUAUAUUAUUUGCCAGUACUUUUAGUGUAGAGCACUUGAUCAUUUUGGUUCUCACUUCUCAGUACUUUCUAAGAUUUCUAGUUUUCUUCUUUUCUCAUCCCCUCUAUUGCUCAAUAUUACCAUGGCACAUGUUUUUGACAAAAUUUUACCACUGCCUUUGCUGCUCCGUUAUAUUUGUCAUUCUGUGGUGUACUAUCGAAUGCCAUCUUGUCUGUGCAUACUGUCUUCCAGGAAAGAUAACUAUUCUGUUGCAUCUUCUAUAUGAACACUGCUCUGUCAUUUGUCAACUGCUUGUCUGUUGCACUCGAUAACAGUUUCCUUCUAUGAGCUAAUCAUGAUCCGUGACCUCUCUUUUUUCUGUUCUCUCUGCAGCACAGUAUCUUAAUUCAUGUAUGAUAGCACAAUAUUUCAGUUCAUAUCCAGUAGCAUGAUAUCUGCAGUAUAAUCCCAGCCAUGUUCUUGAAGCUAUCACAAAAGCAUUUGAUUCUGUCUACCGUGUUUGUUACUUGAGCUGCUGUCGGAGGACGCUUCUCGACUGAAAUGGACCGACUGGAUUGCUUGCCUCACCUAGUGGGAUUUUCAAUAGAACCGUUAUCUCUACUGCUGCUCUUCGUACUUUCAGCUGAUUAGUUAGCUGCCCUUGUCCAAGAAGUUCAUCUCUCACCGUCUUCAUGAGACAGUAUACUGUUUAUCUGAUCCAUCCAAAAAGAUGGUGCCAUUGUCACCGUCCUCAUCGAGACAAAAGCCAAGUGGAGCUACACACAAAUAAGGACACUCUGCUUGGUUCCGGUGAUGCUAUAGGGCUCCGUGAUAUUGACAACGAUAGGGCUUCAUACAGUUAAGUUCUGGUGAAGGAUAGAUGAUCUGAAAGUGCAUGUGCAGAACUUAUGAAGCAUAUUCAGCACUAAAAAGAAACCAGUGGCGCAAAUAAUGACAGAACCGAAUAUCUUUUAUGGAAGAGGAGAAGCCAAGUCCACUGGUCAGUCAAAGAGUCAUGCGACACCAUGAUUUAGAGGGUCAACUUAACCCCGGGAGAACAAGACACGGUGAAAUGGAAAUGAAGAUCUACAUAUGUUCAAGCCAUGUCCACAUAACUACUCUGCAACAGUAUUUGCUGGCUCUGGAUUGCAACUUGAAGAUCUAACUGCACGGCUACUAUAUGAUAUGAAAAAUCAUCUCCAGAUACAAACUCUUCUUCUCCUGCCUAGGCUAACUCUUCAAGGCAGACAAAUACUGAGUGGCCUCGGGUUCAGGGACACUUCUGAAAGAACAGGGUGGCCUCGGGUUCAGGGACCUCCAUGUGUUCAACAUCGUGAUGUUAGCACGGCGAGUUUGGCGGCUGCUCCAAGCACCUGACUCGUUGUGUGCCCGGGUGCUGCGUGCCAAGUACUACCUCGACGGUGAUCUCUCAUCAGCUACGGCCUCACCGGGAAUUAACUAUAUAUGGCGCAGUAUCUGCAAGGGUGGCUGUGAUCAAGGAGGGCAUGGUUUGGCGAGUCGGUAGCGGCGAGCAGAUCUGGAUUUGGGAGGAUUCCUGGCUCCCUACCGGUGCAGUUGGUUUUCCGAGAUCGCGCAGAGGUAAUACGCUGCUGACGCGUGUGUCUGAGCUGAUUGACCCUCUGUAUCAUGCGUGGAUACCCAACUUGUCAGACAGACUUUCAACCAUGAGGAAGCGGAGGUGAUCCUGAAGAUUCCAAUAUACCAGCAGGCAGCAGCACGAGGAUUUCAUAGCUUGGCAGUUUGACAGCAAGGGUUGCUUCUCGGUUCAAUCAGCCUACACCCUACAGGAUUUAUUGUGAGUUGCAGCGGCGCCAGAGCAACCAUGGAUCCCCUUGGCGAGUGCUCUGAGGGUGUGCUGGAAGACCGGAAAGUGUGGACCGAUCGAUCUCUGGAAGGUGCGGUCCCCGGGGAAAGUAGACCAUUUCUUGUGCCCACAACAGCCACCCUAUGCCGAGGAAUGUUGAACAAAUUGGCGUGGAGUUGGACACGAUCGAGCUGUGUUGUGUGCCACAGGCUACCAGAGUUGCAAGGAGGUGAAGAAGAUGUGGCGUCAGCUGCUUUCAAACAUUUUUGCCAUGCCUGAAGAUAGUAAACUGAAGGCCGUCUGUUUCACGUGGUUGUGGUGGACGGAGGGAAACAAAGCAAAGCAUAUCUCUGAGUGGCGGGAAUUUUUUGCAAUGACAAGUGGAAAGGGCCGGCCGAAAUCAAUGUCGACCCACGCAGCUAGUCAGCUUGCCGGGUGGGGCUGCAUUGCGCAUGAUCAAGCAAACAGGGGAUGCCAUUUUUGCUGCUUGCUGCUGGCUGCAGCGAGCGGGCAAGCUCGAGCAUAUAUAUGAGCGAGGCGGAGGCAUGCAUCAUGAUCAAUGCAAUCCAUUUGGCAGAGAAACUGACUCGAUCGUUGGGGCUGGCUCAAGCUUGAAGAAUACUAGCAUGCUCGACCGACCGUCUGAAUUCAGUUGUGUGAGUAGAGUGACUGAGUUCGCCCAUGUAAAUGUAAUGCUCAUCUCUGCAUCUGUAGCUCUCUGCUUCUUUUUUGCCACUCUCUAGUUAGUUGUAGUUGUAUUCCCCCAUCUCCCUAGCCUGUACACCUUUUCCCCUUUUAUUAACUACGAAAUGAAAAGCAUCAUGCAGUAAUGUGGACA